UACGUAGGGUGCGAGCGUUGUCCGGAAUUAUUGGGCGUAAAGAGCUUGUAGGCGGUUUGUCGCGUCUGCUGUGAAAAUCCGGGGCUCAACCCCGGACUUGCAGUGGGUACGGGCAGACUAGAGUGUGGUAGGGGAGACUGGAAUUCCUGGUGUAGCGGUGGAAUGCGCAGAGAUCAGGAGGAAUACCGAAGGCGAAGGCAGUCUUCCAAGCCGUUAUUGACGCUCAACUGCGAAGGUAUGGGUAUCAAACAGGAUUAGAUACCCCCGUAGUCCCUGA
rnacentral:rRNA from 1 species